CAGCGCGGACGGGCGAGCGCCGCGUGCGGGAGAGCGAAGGCUGCAGCGCGCCCGGCAGCCGGGAUGCAGCGGCGCCGCCCAAGCCUGGGGCGCAGGGGUCGGGGCACACGGGGAUAGGCCCGACGCGGGGCCGAAGGAAGGGUGGUCUUUCCCGCAGAGUUGCCGCUGGAGGACCGAAAGUUUUGCAGGCAGCCCUUGCUUCCAGCUUGUCACUCUCUCCCCGCGUCCCUGUCGCCCAACGCGAGGCGCCCCGGUUGGGGUCCCGACGGCUUGGUGGGGAGGAGCCGUGAGGGGUUGCGCCCCCCACCCCCACCCGAGCCAGGGAAGGGACCCUGGUGACCUCGCCUCCCAGCCCUCACCCCCGUCACCCCUUUCUUCUCUUUCCCGGAGGACUUUGGACCAUGGAGAUUCUGCAGUUGUUGCUCUGGGAGCUGAAACCAGUGGGUAGAUGUCGUUCUGAAACGCAGUUCUUCUUUUUGUAAAGGUGUGUCCUGAGGAACCUCAGAUUUGAAAGAAGAGUGAAUGGAAGUCAAAUGUGGAAACCACUCAAAUGUCCAUCAACUGAUGAAUGAAUAAACAAAUCGUGGUAUAUCCAUACAAGGAAUAUUAUUCACCCAUAAAAAGGAAUGAAGUCUUAAUACACCUACAACUGGAUGAACAUUGAAAACAUUAUGCUAUCCAUUCUGCUUCAGGUUGGAAAAAAAAAUACGAUCCUUACCUAAAGAAGCCAUCUACAAAAGGCCACAUAUUGUGUGAUUAUAUCAUAUGACCAGAAUACGCAAAUUCAUAGAGACAGAAAGCAGAUUAAUGGUUGCCAGGAACUGGGGGAAGGGGAGGAAUGAGGAGUGACUAACUGUGUUUUUCCCAUUGUGAUUUAAAAAAAAGUUCUGGAACCAGAUAGUGGUGAUGGUUGCACAACAUUGUGAAUGUACUCAGUACCACUGAAUUGUACACUUUAAAAUGGUCAGUUUUGGCUGGGCACGGUGGCUCACGCCUGUAAUCCCAGCACUUUGGGAGGCUGAGGCAGGGGAAUCACCUGAGUUCAGGAGUUCAAGACCAGCCUGGCCAACAUGGUGAAACCCCGUCUCUACUAAAAAUACAAAAAUUAGCUGGGCGUGGUGGCACAUGCCUGUAGUCCCAGCUACUCAGGAGGCUGAGGCAGGAGAAUCACUUGAAUCUGGAAGGCGGAGAUUGCAGUGAGCUGAGAUUGUGUCACUGUACUCCAGCCUGGGCAACAAAGUGAGACUCUGUCUCAAAAAAAAGAAAAGUUAGUUUUAUGUAAUGCCUAUUUUAUCACAAUAAAAAAUUAAAAGAGUGAAUGGAGUGUUGUUUUAACUCCCAUUAUGGGACCAGUUGAAAGGUUUAUAGGAUAGAGGUUGGAA
rnacentral:lncRNA from 1 species